CGCGUAGGCGGCGUGUUAAGUCAGUUGUGAAAUCUCCAAGCUUAACUUGGAACGGUCAACUGAUACUGAUGUGCUAGAGUGCAGAAGGGGCAACCGGAAUUCUUGGUGUAGCGGUGAAAUGCGUAGAUAUCAAGAGGAACACCUGAGGUGAAGACGGGUUGCUGGGCUGACACUGACGCUGAGGCGCGAAAGCUAGGGUAGCAAACGGGAUUAGAUACCCCGGUAGUCCUAGCCCUAAACGAUGAAUACUUGGUGUCUGGAGUUAUUUUCUCCGGGUGCCGUCGCUAACGUUUUAAGUAUUCCGCCUGGGGAGUACGCACGCAAGUGUGAA
rnacentral:rRNA from 1 species